rnacentral:snRNA from 1 species
AGCUUUGCACAGUGGCAGUAUCAUAGCCAAUGACGUUUAGCCAAGGCGCGAUUAUUGCUAAUCAAAAACUUCUCCCAAUAUCCCGCCAUGAUGACUUGAAAUAUAGUCGGCAUUGGCAAUUUUUGGCAGUCUCUACGAGG